rnacentral:rRNA from 1 species
AUUGAACGCUGGCGGCAGGCUUAACACAUGCAAGCCGAGCGGGGGAAGGUAGCUUGCUACCGGACCUAGCGGCGGACGGGUGAGUAAUGCUUAGGAAUCUGCCUAUUAGUGGGGGACAACAUCUCGAAAGGGAUGCUAAUACCGCAUACGUCCUACGAGAGAAAGCAGGGGAUCUUCGGACCUUGCGCUAAUAGAUGAGCCUAAGUCGGAUUAGCUAGUUGGUGGGGUAAAGGCCUACCAAGGCGACGAUCUGUAGCGGGUCUGAGAGGAUGAUCCGCCACACUGGGACUGAGACACGGCCCAGACUCCUACGGGAGGCAGCAGUGGGGAAUAUUGGACAAUGGGGGGAACCCUGAUCCAGCCAUGCCGCGUGUGUGAAGAAGGCCUUAUGGUUGUAAAGCACUUUAAGCGAGGAGGAGGCUACUCUAGUUAAUACCUAGGGAUAGUGGACGUUACUCGCAGAAUAAGCACCGGCUAACUCUGUGCCAGCAGCCGCGGUAA